rnacentral:rRNA from 1 species
GACGAACGCUGGCGGCGUGCCUAAUACAUGCAAGUAGAACGCUGAAGGAGGAGCUUGCUCUUCUGGAUGAGUUGCGAACGGGUGAGUAACGCGUAGGUAACCUGCCUGGUAGCGGGGGAUAACUCUUGGAAACGAUAGCUAAUACCGCAUAACAGUAGAUGUUGCAUGACAUUUGCUUAAAAGGUGCAAUUGCAUCACUACCAGAUGGACCUGCGUUGUAUUAGCUAGUUGGUGGGGUAACGGCUCACCAAGGCGACGAUACAUAGCCGACCGGAGAGGGUGAUAGGCCAAACUGGGAAUGAGACACGGCCCAGAAUCCUACGGGGGGCAACAGUAGGGAAUCUUCGGCGAUGGACGGAAGGCUGACCGAGAAACGCCGCGUGAGUGAAGAAGGUUUUCGGGUCGUAAAGCUCUGUUGUAAGAGAAGAACGAGGGUGAGAGUGGAAAGUUCACACUGUGACGGUAUCUUACCAGAAAGGGACGGCUAACUACGUG